AACGAACGCUGGCGGCAUGCCUAACACAUGCAAGUCGAACGAGACCUUCGGGUCUAGUGGCUCACGGGUGCGUAGCGCGUGGGAACCUGCCCUUAGGUUCGGAAUAACUCCCCGAAGGGGGUGCUAAUACCGGAUAAUGUAUUCGGACAAAAGAUUUAUCGCCUGUGGAUGGGCCCGCGUUGGAUUAGCUAGUUGGUAGUGUAAAAGCCUACCAAGGCGACGAUCCAUAGCUGGUCUGAGAGGAUGAUCAGCCACCCUGGGACGGAGACACGGCCCAGACUCCUACGGGAGGCAGCAGUGGCGUAUAUUAGACAAUGCGCGAAAGCCUGAUCCAGCAUUGCCGCGUGAGUGACGAAGGCCUUAGGGUUGUAACGCUCUUUUACCCGGGAGGAUAACGACAGUACCGGGAGGAUAAGCUCCGGCUAACCCCGUU
rnacentral:rRNA from 1 species